rnacentral:rRNA from 1 species
UCGGGAAUAUUGCGCAAUGGAGGAAAGCUCUGANGCAGUGACGCCGCGUGCAGGAAGAAGGUUUUCGGAUUGUAAACUGCUUUAGACAGGGAA